rnacentral:lncRNA from 1 species
GUGGAAAUGAAAAUUGAAAUUGAUUGCAAUCGACGUCCACCGUCAUUCAGUCCACCGCCAAGCAAGACUGUCAGUAAUAUGUUCAGGUUAGUUAUUCUUUGUCUUUUGCAUAUUCUUUUUUGGAAAAAAGAGGCAGUUCUUCUACAUUGUUGAGUUAGGAACGUAAAUUGAUGUUUUCGAAAGAAACGUGGCUCGUGAGAUUGGAUUUUUACCUAUGUUUACUGCCGUAGAAGGUGAUUAUAACAGUGAUGAUAAUGUGGCUGCUGCUGAGAAAGAUGGUAUACAUGAGUUGAGUAAAUCCUCGAAUUGUAAACUUUCAACGAAUAUAUGUGUUGUACGACAUCACAAGCGCUACUACACUAGUCUCACCAUUUGAUUUGGUAAGUGAACUCUGUUCAUCAAUGAAGCUUCAAUCUUGUAUGGUUUUAUUAAUCAAGUUUGAAGCUGCCGGUCUAUUAGUAUGUAGUUUUUUUAUUGCUGUUAUGUAAUUGUCGUUCCAGUUCUUAUUUUAGUACGAUAUGUGAGUUCCAAUACUUGAUCUUAAAUUAUAAAGUGAAUCAAUUGAAAUUAUAACAUUUAGUUGCAAAGAUAGAUGAAGGACUUUUUUUAAGUUUGUAUUCCACUUGUGAAUGCUAAAAGAAUAUGUUGCAAUGAUGCAUGAGAUAAUUGCAGAUCUUGGUGAAUAUUCAUGUGAUUGUGCAUAUGUUCGUAACUUCUUUGAUCCUCCAUUCUGGAAAUUAUCCUCUGAUACAAAAGCAAAGUUUUCCUUUUAGCAAUAGCUACUUUCAAUCACAUAUUUUAUAAUUACGGAUGCGAGCUAUUUAUGUAUAUUGUCAAAGACUUAAUCACCCACUGAACUAUAUCUUGUUUUAUUUGGGUUUUUUGCAAUGUUGGCAUGUUCUAUUUGAGUUCUUGUUGAGUCUAUUUUAAAUGCACCACGACUGGCUAUCAACCACAAACUAUAGAACAUGUUUACAAUUCAGUUUACAUGCUAAGUUUGACUGUUGUCACAAGAGGAAAAAAAGAAUAUACGUACAACAUAUAUUAAUUCUCUACAAAACUUAAUUUUUUAACUUACAAUAUUUAUAUAUGCCUACUUUCGAUAAAGUUCCACAUAUGAUGUUGAAAACUUAUCUAACGAAGUCAACUGCUUACUUUUGAAUACAUUAUUAACUUAUUAAAGUUAAAGCUCAAGAGAAAUGAACAUGAUUGAUACCCAAUUCUAAACCUAUUGCCAUGACUAAUUAAUAUGAUUAAUGACAUUAGCAAUUUAAAAUAGUUUAAUAAAUUAAAUUUGAAAUAUGUUCUUGUUCCUUAAUCUAUACGGCAAAAAGACUUCCUGUCCACGAAGUUAUUUAGAAGAUUAAUGGUAAUCCUUGUGAUGACAAAGUGGACAGUUAAUUCUGGUAUGUACACAAUUGUCGCGUCUAGACCAAAACAAUAAUUCUACUUUUUUUCAUUGUAUUUUCAUUAUAAAGAUGCCCGACUGACCUCAUUAGAUUUAAAUUGAGUGGUUUUAAGUCCAUUACACGUAAUUUAAUUAUAACUAAAGAAGACUAAAUCAUUUUCAAAUGAGCUUACAAUCCUUAUCUACUAAUUUUUAGGUGAACUUUGGGAUAAUGAGGAUAUUUGGACCUUUUCUAUGUGCAGUAGCGUUAUUCAUUAGAGGUAUUAUAGCACUAAAGAAAGCCAAAAAAAUGAAAGAAAAAUUACAAUUACGAGUAAAUCGAGUCCAACAUUUUUAAGGAGUAAGAGAUUUUAAAGCACUUCCUGUAAUAGAACAUGUCAACCACAAAAUGCACCACGACUGUUUGAGUUCUUGUUAAGUGUGUUUUACAUGCACCACGACUCGCUAUCAACCACAUUUAAGAGGAUAGCAAUAUUCGAAAUCGUCUGAGCGUUUGAACUUCAAAAGUUCACGAGAAAUCAAGUGCUCUCUAUGUUAAUCUUGUUUUCGGAUUCUAGUAUGGAAUUAGAGUUUAUAUACACUACUCAUGUCCCAACUAAUGUUUCUGCACAUAUUGGCUAGGAUUAUCAUCUUCGGGUAAUAGAAAUCAAGUGCAAUUGUACGCCAUUUUCGUUUGUUAGGUCACUAAUACAUAUAGUUAUUGUACGUAACUUGAUUAUUUUCUGUAUCACUGUUCAAUCUCUUCUGUCUUCAUUUGCUUGCCUCAAGCAAGAAGAGAAAGUAAAACAAUGUUGACACUGGGAUACUUCUAAUUAUUUUGUUGUAGGUUUUGGAAAUGAUAUAACUUUAACUUCAUAUGACAUGUCUAUUUGCGGUUGCACUUAUUUUGUGGCUCCUUUCGAAUGCCAAGUUUAAAGAUUGUCAUGGUGCCAUUUCGUCAGCUAUGGUUGAAUUUUAGUUUGAUCUAUUAGAGAAAAUUUUGGGAAUUGAAUAGGAUAAGGGAUUUGACCAUUAUAAAUUAGCUUUAAUAUUACUUUUGGUUAUACUUGAUAUACACUUUCAGUUUAUAAUGCUUCAUAAUUAAAAUAUUUGGAGACUGGUGUUCAAGAAAUGUGGCAAUUUGAAUGUAUGCUCCUCUUCAAUACAUUUUUUAUGGGUAAAAUUUAUUUCUCUUGUUGCAGAACCAAACUUUACGGAGUGUCGAGGAAGAAAAGAGACGUUUUUGUCUAUAGCACUUUGCAACUGCUACAACUAGAUGUGGUGAAAGCACUUUCUUCUAUCUUGUUUUUGAUAUGUACAAAUAUGUAUUGAACUUAGCACGCAUAAGAAAUUGACAAAACAACUUGCUGCUUUGCAUUUCUCUUAGAUUGCUCGGUAAGCAAUUGCUUGAUUUGGUGUUUUCAUUGUAGUUAUAAAGGGAAAAUUAUUCUUGUCUACUUGCCUUCUACUCUAACGGUCCUUUUUUACUUGGUUGCUUCGAUGUGUUUACAUUUGUACCUGUUUGCUUGGCGAUACUGAUGACAUUGUAGAAUUAACAUCUAGUUUUUAAGUUCAUUGUGAUUUUUGGGAUGACUGGAUUUUGGCAUAUUCUACAUUUUGAUAUAAAGCACCAUGCAUAUAUAACACAUAUUUCUGUUCGCAUUGUAGCAUUAACAUCUAAGUUUUAAAGUGUUUUGUGAAUUUUCAGAAGACUGAUUUUUCGCUGUUAUAUACCAAGUUUGUGUGUUGGGGCACCAUGCAUAUGUAUGCCAUGUUUCUGUUGAAAACUGUCGUUCCCGACAUUUGGCUGCAGAAUUUCUCGACAGUUGGGUGAAUCUCCACAGAUGGCAUUCUCGAUAG